CUGACUGCUCUGGAGACUGAAGUUCUCUGCAUAUCCUCAGAACAGGUAUGGCAUGAGUUAGCAGCAGCGCUAGCUUUUUUACAUUGCUACAACUAUGUGCCUCAACUCCACAAAAGAGAGAACACCUGAAAGCAUGACAAGGAGUUUAGUCUCUAGGCAACCUCUGUUCAGAGAUGGU
rnacentral:sRNA from 1 species